rnacentral:rRNA from 1 species
UACGUAGGGGGCAAGCGUUGUCCGGAAUUAUUGGGCGUAAAGGGCACGCAGGCGGUGAUUUAAGUUUGGUGUUUAAUCCCAGGGCUCAACCCUGGUACGCACUGAAAACUGGGUCACUUGAGUGCAGAAGAGGAGAGUGGAAUUCCACGUGUAGCGGUGAAAUGCGUAGAUAUGUGGAGGAACACCAGUGGCGAAGGCGACUCUCUGGUCUGUAACUGACGCUGAGGUGCGAAAGCGUGGGGAGCAAACAGG